AAACUUCACGCUAACUUGGAAGUACCCAUUAAAUGGGUUCCAUGUACCCAUUUUCCCAACCAGUACUGAAUUGUCAGAAAGAGGGUAUUUUUCAAAUGUCAUAAAAAGGGUACUUAAUCCACAUAAAUAAGUUUCCAUUCGUUUACUAAUCAUGGGUACAUAAUACGCACGAUACUUUGACGAGCAGCAUCGCCAUUUUCAAGUUGACUUUGCGGUGGCGUUUUUUUGUUAACUAAAAUUUAGUUUUGAAUGUUUAAUAUUCUUUUUCGACUCUGAAACUAUUCGUAUAUGGGUAUGGAUUCGGAUCUACACCCUUCUAGCAAAAAUAUUUGAAAUAUCAUUUCAAGAUCGAACUGUGGCGCAACAACUUCCGAGGCCGAUGGCCGAUGUGCAAGGCUGCAAUUGGCGGGGGAGAGUAUCGGGAUUCGGGAAAGUGUCCUGGAAUUGGCUGGCUGCGGUGCAUUGAUUGAUCUUUAGUGUCUAGUUUAAAAAGUGCAUUUCACGCAAUAAAUAAAAUUAUGAUUGUAAUAAUGUAUAAACAUAAUAUUUCAAAUAAAAUAUAUGCAUUGUUUCAUUUGCGUGCGUUUGAUAAUUUGGUUUAAUAAUUUAAUGAAAACUCCACUUGAAUAAAGAGCGAAAUCGAAAAAAGAUGAGGUUUAUUUACCCAUUUAUUUGCAACCAAUAAGUAGUUUCUGGAGCGGUUUUUGUUCUGUUCAAAUGGUAAUUAUUUUCAUCGUUUUCAUUCUAGAUCGAACUGUGGCGCAACAACUUCCGAGGCCGAUGGCCGAUGUGCAAGGCUGCAAUUGGCGGGGGAGAGUAUCGGGAUUCGGGAAAGUGUCCUGGAAUUGGUUGGCUGCGGUGCAUUGAUAGAUCUUUAGUGUCUAGUUUAAAAAGUGCAUUUCACGCAAUAAAUAAAAUUAUGAUUGUAAUAAUGUAUAAACAUAAUAUUUCAAAUAAAAUAUAUGCAUUGUUUCAUUUGCGUGCGUUUGAUAA